ensembl:lncRNA
UAUUUGUAAAUGCAGUUGCUUUUUAUUGAGACAUAAUUUACCCAUAUAAAAUUCACCCCUUUAAAGUGUACAAUUCAGUGGGUUUUAGUGCAUUCACAAGCUUGCACAACCAUCACCACUAAUUCCAGAACAUUUUCAUCACCCCAAAAAGAAACCUUUACCCAUGAGCAGUCACUCCUCAUUUUUUCCUUCCUCAGCCCCUGGCAACCGUUAAUCUACUUUCUGUCUCUAUGGAGCUGCCUAUUCUAGAGAUUUCCUAUAAAUGGAAUCCUAUAACAUGUGGCCUUCUGUGUCUGGCUUCUUUCACUUAGCAUAAUAUUUUCCAAGUUUAUCCAUAUCUUGCAGCUGCAAUUAGUUUUUGAUAUUGAUUUGAUAUGGGAGUAUCCUGUAUCGUCUCUGCUGGAUUUUUUUCAUAGUUCUGGUAAUUCAUAGAUUAUUUGGGGUUUUCUGUGUAGACGAUCAUAUCAUCUUCAAAUAAUGCCACUUUUCCUUCUUCCUUUCCAAUCCUUCUCCCUUGCUGCUGUUUCGUUGUCUUACUGCCCCAGCUGGAGCCUUGGGUACAAUGCUGAAUAGACGCAUGGAUGAGGGCAAACAUCCCUGAUUUUAGAGAAUGUGUCCACUGCUCCUUUAAGACCUGCGUGUGUGCUGGUGUUUGUAGAUAAUCUUCAUGAGUCUACAGACAUACCUUCUAUCCCAAGUUUGCGAAAACAUUUUUAUCAUAAGUAGAUGUUGACAUUUAGUGCUAGUGCUGAGACAAUCAUACGGCUUUGCUCCCUUAAUUUAUUAACGCGAUGGAUGGCACUCACAGGCUUUCCAGCGCUAACCCACCCUUGCGUUUCUAGGGUAAACCCACUUUGGUCAUCAUGUAUAUGUCCUUUUUAUUCAUUGCUGGAUUUGUUUUGCUAAUAUUUUAUUUCGGGCUCUUGCAUGGAAUUUCAUAAGCAGUACUGGUCUCUAAUAUCCCUUUGAAUGUCCUAUGUAAACUGAAGAGCCACCUCUGAUCUAAAGCGUCUAAGCGUCUCUCUCGGAAUGCCUCUGUCCCUGUCCCUGUCUCUCAGGGCCCCUCUCUGUCCCUCCCCAAAUACACUGCUGUGGCUUGAGGGGUGCUCCCGUGGGUGGCCGACGGUGAGAGGCACCAGCAGAGGAUGGCAGCUGCAGGAGCGGGACCUCGGAUUUCGGAAGGGCCGUAGAGCUGUGAGUCCCCCGCCAGCCGAGGGGGCCGUCGCUCCUGGGCCCCUCAUUGAAGAGGGAGGUUACACAGGAAUCGCCCCCUCCCUUCGCCUUGGGGAGGGGAGCCCUCCAGAGGAAAUGGCCAGAAAGGGGCUGGGGUCAGGGGUUAAUGACCCCAUUGUGCUCAGGGCUGAUGGAUGGCCCAGCUUGUCAGUGGCUGUGGCAGAGCCAGCAGCCCCAGGGAGACCCCUUCUCCCUCCCUGCAGUCACCAUCUGAGGGAAGGUCCCUGCUGGCCUUUGAUAACCGCUGGGGGCCGCCCUCCCUGCUGUGCGGCGCCUGGCCAGCCUCUGUGGCGGGGUCUGGUCUGCUGAGGCCCAGAACAUAGCCUCCACCUCCUCUGCUCCACACCCACCCCAAUCCCUGCCACCAGGCGCUGCAGGUGGCUGAGGGUGCUGACCACGUCCCUUGCCCCCUCUGAUGUUGGGCACCCAACACAGGCUGUCCUAUGCCAGCCCUGGCCAUCUUGUCAGCCACAGGGUCCUCAGAAGUGAUCUGGUGAAGCCCAGCUCUCCCACAUUUGGGACAGGGAAAUGGGCACGACACGGUCAAGGCUCUCCUCUGGAGUGGGAGCAGGGGCAGUGCCAGGUCCUGUGACCUCCUUCUCAAACGUGCCCAGCCUGGGGCCAGCGUUGAGGGUGAGGUGAGUCAGACGCAGUCCUCCCUCAAGGGGCUCCCGGCUGGGGACCUGGGUCCAGCAUGUGCACAGAAAAGCAGAACUAAGUGCAGUAAAUGCAGUAGGCACGGUGUACCAUGGGUGCAGAAAAGGAACCCCUCGCCCAGCCAGGGGCUGGGGGAGGCUUCCAGGAAACUGGGGCUGAUUCUAAACGGGUGAGUAGAAGUUAGAUCAAAGAGGGUGGGGGCAGCAGGGAAAGGCAUUCCAGGCAGAGGGAACAGCAUAAGCAAAGGCACAGAGUAAAACCAAUGUGGUGUGUGUGAGUCACAGCAGUUCAGUGGGGAGAGAUGAGGCUAAGUAGGUCAGCUGGGCCAGGUUACCAGGGCCACAUGUGCCAUGUUAGAUGUUUAGACUUGGCAGUUUGUCACUCGAGUGGGGAAAAGAGCUGAGAGCCUGGUUCUAAUCCUGUCUCCAUCCAUCUUUAUUCAUUCUUUAGUCGUUCAGCAAACCAAGGAACAAUGUGACCUCGGGCGGGUCACUUCCUCAUGAAGCCUCCUCCAGCAGGCCCUGCACUGGGCCCCCACGGGGAACCUAAAAGACCAGGCCUGAGUGAGCACAGGUUCUCCGAUAUCUUCUUGUCACCAGGCUGGGGCGGGGCAGGGGUGCAUAAAUGUUCUCAGUCCCAGCAUGUUGAAAAACGGCCUGGGGGAUGGGAGCUUUCGAGAGAUGGUUUCAGGGUGACGAACAGGAGGUCUUAGCAGCCCCAGCGUCACAGCAGCCCGCUGCCCGGAUGGCCUCAUGGGGACUUCCGGUUACAGGGGACCAAAGGAAACCCGCGCCACGUGAGCUGGAUUUUCUGCUAUUUGUAGUCAAACGCAUUCCUAACUGACUCAAGCUCCUUACCUCUGGCUGAAAAACAUAAAAAUACACUCCAAGAUCUUACACGUGCACACGAGAAGCUUUUCCAGAGAAAUGGGACUCUCUUAAAAUACAGGAGACACUCCACAUCCCCAUUUCAGUAACUUUAAAAUUUGAAAGUGUUUAUUGCAGAAAUUUGGAAAUACAAUAAAACACAAAGCACUAAAAAAUCUUUAAAAAUCACUCAAAAUCCCACCACCCAGAAAUAACUAAGAUAAGGAUUUUUGUGUUUUCUUUCCAUUUUUUUCUACACAUUUUUUUUUUUAAGAUUUUAUUUUUUCCUUUUUCUCCCCAAAGCCCCCCGGUACAUAGUUGUGUAUUCUUCGUUGUAGGUUCCUCUAGUUGUGGCAUGUGGGACGCUGCCUCAGCGUGGUCUGACGAGCAGUGCCAUGUCCGCGCCCAGGAUUCGAACCGACGAAACACUGGGCCGCCUGCAGCGGAGCGCGCGAACUUAACCACUUGGCCACGGGGCCAGCCCCUCUACACAUUUUUAAAAGAACUUGAGCUAUAUGUUUCUUUUUGUUUUGUACUGAAGUUAUAUAUAUGCAUAUAUUGUUUUAUAUCCUGGUUUUUACUUAAGAUUAUACCAAAAACAAUUCCUAUGUCACUGAAAUUCCUCAUCAGCAUCAUUUCUGGUGGCUGCGUUAUAUUCUGUCAUAGAACCACGCUAUAAUUCAUUUCACAGGCCCCCCACAGCUGCACACUAAGAUGGUGGCCAGCUGUUCACUAUUCAAUGGGCGUCUCUGGGCAAGACUCUUUUUUUUUUUUCUUUUAAGGAAGAUCAGCCCUGAGCUAACAUCUGCUGCCAAUCUUCCUCUUUUUGCUGAGGAAGACUGGCCCUGAGCUAACAUCCGUGCCCAUCUUCCUCUACUUUAUACGUGGGACGCCUGCCACAGCAUGGCUUGCCAAGCGGUGCCAAGCGCACCCGGUAUCCAAACCGUUGAACCGAAGUGGAACGUGCGAACUUACCCACUCUGCCACCAGGCUGGCCCCUGGGCAUGGCUCUUUCUUUAGACCUGGUUCACUUUAACAAAGUGUUAUACAAGUGCAGCCUCCCCUUGUACCAAGUCACGACAGCAGCCGCUGAGCCAGGAGGCCAUCCGCGGGUCCUCUGACAAGCAGCCGCCUCGCAGGGCCCCUGGGUGUCCUGUGGUUAAAGAGCGGCUCUGUGUCCGCCCUUAAAGGCAGGCUGCAAAUGUUGUCAUCAACAAGGCCAACUUAGCAACAGAGUGUUUUGUUUGUUUUGUGAUAAGAACACUUAACAUAAGAUCUACCCUCUUAGCAAAUGUUUAAGUUUUAGCAACUGUUUCCCUCUUCCUGGACCCUCCCUCUGUCCGUCCCUGCACCUUCUAAUGACCUGUUAUUCUGCUCUGGUCUAGGCAAUCGCAGCACCAGGGUAUCACAACUGCGCCAGAAAGAAGGGGGCUCUGAGUGGGCUCCCUCAGGAGAAGUGCCUGAUGGGGGCGAGGGAACCACAGCAAGACCUGCUCUCGGAGCCUCGGGUUCCCGAGAUAAUUCAUCUGCUCUGCCUCCCUCACGGGAGCCUGGCCCCACAGAGGUCCUGGGGGUCUGCCUGCUGACCUCCUCCACCAGAGAGACAAGGCCUGGGGCCUGUAGGAUAGGGGGCAGAAGGCGGGGAGCUGAAUGAACCAUAUACAGAAGGGCUGAGGUGGCUGUGGCCACAGAAGGCCUGGGGCAGCCUCCUUCUCUCCUCUCCAGAUGCCCCCAUCCCCGCUCACACCCGGCAGGCCCCUGGAGCUUCUCCACACAACCCCAUCCCCGGCCUAGGCCAUGGGUCACUCACAGCCCUGGGACCAGGGCAGUUCGGCCCUCCCACUCUCAGCUGGGAUGUGAAGUCAGAAGCCCAGCGCAUCGGCCUGAUGGCGACCACCAUUGGUGCCAGGAGGGAGGGGUACCGCCAGACGUGGGCUUUCACCUGGCACCCUCCAGCCCUCCCGGACUCCCAGCAGACACCCGGGUCCCUCUUGUGGGAGAGGCUGAGGCUAAGCUUCUGGGUGAUCUGUUGGCUGGGGGUCUCGCUCCUUCAGGAAGAGCAGUUGAGGCAUUUUUCUCCCCCGUUAUUCCUCCUUCUGCCCCUCCCACCAAAUCAAAGGCAGCAAGCCUCUAAAAACUGCAGGUUGGCGGCUCACUGCAUCCCGAAGUAGAGAGAUCUCCCCCCGGGGGCAAAGAUGUCCAGGCAAAAGGAUGCGGCGCUCCUCAGAGGUCUCCUCGGCCAGAAGCGCCCGUCCACCCGCAGGGCCAGGUCUCUCACCCAUUUGGGCCAGGUCACCAGGAAACCUGGACGAACAGACCCCAAGGAACGUCCAGGUCUCACCCCCUGGACCAGCUGAGAGGACAGCACCCUCCUCCAACUUCUCGCGCAAACUGCCUCGGCCCCCUGCCCAGGCACCACCCUCCGCCCGCUCCUGGAGCAGCUCUUCCUCUCCUGCCCCUUCGAGGCAGAGUCCCCGGGGGCCAAGCCCCUGCCUCCCGGCUACUGGCUGGGCGACUCUCUCUCUGUCUCUUUUUGGUCACAGCUUCACUGAGAUGUAAUUCACGUACCAUACAAUCCACACACUUAAAGUACACAAUUCAGUGUUUUUCAGUAUAUUCAUAGAGUCGUACAACCAUCACCACAAUCAUUUUAGAACAUUCUCAUCACCCCAGAAAAGAAAGCCUGCACCCCUUAGCCAUCACCCCCGACUCCUGGCCCCGGGCACCCACUAACCUACUCUCUGUCUCUAGAGAUGUAGCCAUUCUGGGCAUUCCAGACUUGACGCCUCUUGCCUCAGUUUCCCCAUCUAUAAAAUGAGGAUGAUCGUGGUGCCCCCUCAUAGGGUUUGUGGAGAGGAUUCAGAUAAGUUAAUAUGAAGGCUUAGGAUCGUGUCCAGCCUGGGGUAAAUGCUGUGUCACGCCUGCUCCUGUUACUGCUCGGCAGCGUCUCCGGCGCUGGGCUCCUGGGCUGCCCGCCUGCCUUCCACUUGCCCUGUGAGCUCAUUUCGUCCUCGUCCACCUCCGCAGCCCAGACCUCUCUCUGAGACUCCAGACCUCCCGGCAGCCCCACCCAGACAGCCCCAGACUCAGCGAGUCCUUCCUCCCCAAGCCUGCCUUCCUGCUGUGUCCUUCGCUCAGGAAAUGGAAUGACCUUCCCCGGGUCACCCAGGCCAGAAACCCAGGGGUAUCCUUGACGCCUCCGUCCCCCUGUGCCUGCCCCCACCAUCUGGUCCAUCAGUCUGGACUUUGUCCCCCAACCUCUCCCUCCCCUGCCAGCUUCCCUGACCACUCUCCAUCACCAGCUCAGUGCCCACAAGCUUGGUUCUGGUGUCCAGUGUAUUUCCGUCCACCACUCACCUGCUGAGGGGUCUUGGGCAAGUUGCUUCACCUCUCUGAGCCUCAGUUACCUGGAUGAUAAAAUAGGGGGGACAAUAGUGCCUUCUUCAUCAGCUUGUUUCAAAGACGACUCAGUCGCUCCUCGCCCGGGCCCCGCCUCCGUCUUGCCCACAGCACACCUGGCACCCGCUUCAUAAGGCACCAGUUAUGGAGCGCUGACCACGCGUAGGACACGAAGCGAAGGCCCCUGUGCGCUACUCCCUUAACCAUCACGACACUCUCACGAAGCAGGGGCUGCCCCCCUCGCUCUACAGAUGAGGAAACUGAGGCCCAAGGUCCCUGAGCUGGAGUUAACCACUGCCUCAGGGAACACUGCUGGCAUUCUGCAUUGAUUCAAAACAUUUAUUGAGCACCUACUGUGUGCCAGACACUGAGCUCCAUCCUGUGAAAACAGUAAUAAAGCAGACUGGCAUAGACCAGCCCACAUGAUCUUUCUAGAACACAAAUCUGACCCCUCUAAAAUCCUUCAGUGACAACCCCACUGCACUCAGGAUCCAGUCCAUAUCCCUUAUCAGGGCACCCUGGG